CAAGAGCACAACUGCUCGAAUUCUCUAAGGUGGGUGUAUGGAUCUUCAUCUACUUGCCCAGAGAAGGGUUGCUCCUGAAUCAUGGCUAUUAGAUCAGAGCCGAGGUCGUAGCCAUCUGUAAGAAUUGGAUGUGAUGAUGGUGGUGGCUCUAAUAACUCGGCCUUUGGAGCAAAGAAUUUAUAGAUAGGAGUGAAAUCCAUGUGGUAUGGUGAAAAUGGUAAGGUGAGUGUGGUAAAAAAAAAGGAAAAGAAAAAGGACACACGGACGACUUGGUUCGAAACUAGCACAGCUACCGUUCCCCGGCAACGGCGCCAGAAAGCUUGUUGGGUAUUUUAAACGCAAACAGAAAAAUCCGCAAGCACAGGGAUACCGAUGUAGCCUUCACUCGGGAGUAUUCCAGAGUAUCGAUUUUCCACAGGGAACAUGAGUUUACUAAUUAAGAUUCAAGAUCGCCCAAGGAUAACUAUAUAAUUAUUUUUUGGUGGG
rnacentral:lncRNA from 1 species